CAGGAGCCAGUAAAACAUCUUCAGUUACAGCAGUAAACAUACUUGUUAUGGGUGCAAAUAAGGAGACUUAGACAUGUCUCUGUGAAACUGACAAUCUCAGGUAGGAGCUGCUGGUUUGUGGUUGGCAGUAUGGAUCACGGUCUGCGACUCAUGAGGAGCUGGUCUGGAGACAUGAAGAGGUUGUCAACAGGCCAUCCAUCCAAGAUCAUCUAUCUGAGCUGCUGAAAACUGCCUCGGUACGGAUCUGUUGGAGCUUUGUGUCACUGACUGUAUUUCUGCAAAUUCCUGUUUCGUGUCACAUUGCUUAUGCAAGACUAAAUUCAUAAAGGUGAUGGUCUGUGGAGACUGUGGGCGAUUCCUUCUGCUGUCAUUUAAACAUGAGCAGGAGUAAUGACGGGUUUAAAUGGAUGCAACUAAUAUUAUGUCAGAGUCCGCUGCUUAUGCUGUAACCAUAAUGCAACCAGGACAACACACCUGGAGUGACCGAGAGCAGGAUGAAGAAGGAAUCGGAUGAGAAAAUGUCAACUGGUGCCCAUGAUGAGACAUAUUGUUCUUGGACCUGCUUUUUAUGUUUAGUAAUAAGUGGUUUUAUGUGGUUAAAUAAAAGUAAUUUAAUAUUAAUAUUUAAUAUUUUAAUAUUCACUCCAAAAUGGUCUAGUAUUGUCACUUAACUUAUGCUGCUUGACUUCUCAGCAUAAAGAUCAUUAUUAAAUUAAUAUGAAAUAUUUCAAAGUUAGAAAUAGGCUACCCCAUGCCAUCUAAUAAAGAAGUGGGUACUCCGUGCGUGUCGUGUACCCAGCACUACACCAUAUGGCAUCAUUGAUGUCUGUUGUAGAUAUAUAACUGUUAUUAAAUAAUUAUAUUGUAUUUCUUUCUAUUUAAGUCCAAGUUCAAAAUAAAACUCUAUAAACCUCUCCAUUGUGAAAUGGUUUAUAUACAUUCAAAAUGGAGCGGUUUAUAGUGUUUUAUUUUGAACUUGGACAUAAAUACAAAAAAAAACAAUAUAAUUAUUUAAUAACAAAGUUAUAUAUCUACUAACAGCGGACAUCAAUGAUGCCAUAUGGCCCGGCGUUGCAUUGACCCCUCAGAUCUGAUUUGUGCAUUUUUGUAUUCAUGGUUAAAAUGUUCAACUUUUUGAUUGUAAUAAUAAUUUAACCUUAUCCCCAUAUGGGAUUUAAAAUGUUCAGUGACAUUACUGUCAGAUUCAAACGUCUUUCGCGCUGAGCCAGACGGACGAGCUCAGCGCUGUCAUAUAGCAACACUAUGCAGUGUUUUCAACCUCAUAAUGUUUAUUUUAGAUUUCAGACAUUUAAAUACACAUAAGCACUGGUUAAACAACAGCCUACAUUUAGUUUGUAAAAAACACAUUGAUGUCUGUGGAAGCAGCAAUACAAAUCUAUUCAAAUAAGAUAGUAAUUUGCAAAUAAUAAAUAAAUAUUAUUUUCAAAUAAUAAUAAUUUGCCGACGUAUCAGACAAACACAGUGGAAGUAUAAAGUUUACUUUAUUGUUAUAAAGGUUAUAAUGAAAAGACGGGGAUGCGCUCCUCCCUUGCGAAAAAUAAGCGUGCUUAAAUGUACUUUUAUAAAGUGUACUUAUUACAUAAAUAUAAUAUACUUUAAUACAGUUAAGUGUGAAUUAAAUGCAAUCUUUUCGGCGCACUUAAUGCACAUUAAAUGUAAUUAAUUUCAAAUAUAUCAUAUAUUAAGUUGAAAUAAAAUUUAAUAAGUUGCCAUUAAGAGUUAACUUAAUUGGUACUUUAUUACAACUUUAUAUCUACUUUCAUAA